rnacentral:lncRNA from 1 species
GCUGCGAUGGCGUGUCCGACAGCAAACCAGGGAAGGGAAGAGAGAGGAGAGAGGGAAAGGAGGUGGCGUGGACGUGUCCCAGACUGCAUGCCCUCUAAGGAAGGGUCAGCGAGUCCUCCAGCCAAAGUCAGCUAUCCGUGGAUGUCUUCCAGGAACCGGCGUUAGAUCCUUGCAGCAGUCAGCCACUCACAGGGAGCUGCCCGCGGGGAGGGCAGCCCAGGGCACACAGCCAUGGAUGUCUGCGCGCAGCCGCCUGGGCCCUUGAUUUGUUGACGCUUCUCGUUGAUGAUGGUCCGUGAGACGCAUGCUCAUUACCACCACCGCCCACCCCCUUGCCCCACACAGAUCUAUUUCUCCAACCAGGAAAGUUCAGAAAGCAGCUCCUCCAGGGUUCCCAGGGGCCUUUCUUCCUGAGCGACAAACCACAGCCCCCGUGACGGCCGAGGGUCUUGGAGCAUCCUAACCCCUCCUCCGCCCUGCAUUUAAAUUCCCCUCACCCUCAGCUAUCAGGUCAGUAGGUGUCGGUAGCUUACCUGAUGGGAUGACCCUCAUUCCUGAAGGGUCUAAAUUAGAAUCAUACCCUGCUCAGUCUGGAGUGACUGCACCUGCGUAUUCACAGAUACAAGUGGGUGAGGGAGCCGCAGGAGGCACCUGAGCCCAGCCCCUGGGUUCUGCCCCUGUUCCUCCCCGCCCCCACUAGGUAAAAAAGCCCCUGCCUCCUGCUGCUGAUUAGGUCAAUAACGCAUGCCAAUAAGAUGAUUUCUCUUUUAACCUGCUGAUCCUUGCGAACGAGGCAUCCUGAGUGUCCCGGCAGCAGCUUCCACUUGCCGUUCAACAAGACCCUUGCUGUGUCUCCUGGCCAGAGUGUGUCCUCUUUUGGAUCCGGACCUCCAACCCUGCAGAACCCAGAGUCGCAGAGCAGGAAGCCCCAAAUCCCCCAGUGGGUCUUAGAGACUGGUGGAUCUGCCAGAAUUCAUGGCCUAAGCAGCAGGGCAAUUGCACCACAGUCUGGACUUGCUGAAGCACCCCUUUCUACUCUGAGCCUCCACUCGAAGAUGGUCACCUUUAGUGUCCCUCAGUAUAUGG